GGAGGAAUGUAUAGCAAUAGCUACUUGCAUCAUUAUAAAGGUGAUGCAAGAUCGACUAUGUCGAAUAAAAUUCUAGGUAGAAUUAUGAUAAUGACAUUGUCUGCCUAUGUGUCUUGACCAAAUUACGUGCCAGCAGUCGCGGUAAUACGUAGAAGACUAGUGUUAUUCAUGUUUAAUCGGUUUAAAGGGUACCUAGACGGUAAAUCAAGCCUAAAAAAAAAUAAUUGAAGGGACUAAUUUGCUAGAGUUACUUAUGAGGGGGUAUUAAAGUACUGCUGGUGUAGAGAUGAAAUUCUGUCAUACCUCUUUUCAAUAGAAAAACAAUGGCACAGGUAUAGGCGAAAGCAUCCCCUUAUGUGAUAACUGACGUUGAGGGACGAAGGCUUUGUGUAGCGAACAGGAUUAGAUACCCCAGUAGUCAAAGCAGAAAAUGAUGAAUGUCAUAGAUUAGAUAUAUAAGUUUAUUCUAUAAAUGAAAGUGUAAGCAUUCCACCUCAAGAGUAAUUUGGCAACAUUGGAACUGAAAUCAUUAGACCGUUUCUGAAACCAGUAGUGAAGUAUGUUGUUUAAUUUGAUGAUCCGCAAAAAACCUUACCACAAUUUGAAUAUUUAUAUCUAUUAUUGUUUUUUCUUCUUAUUUUUUAAUUAAAAACAAUAAUUAAGAAGAAAAAUAAGAAAAAGAGGCAAUAAGAUAUAUUUACAAGCGUUGCACGGCUGUCUUCAGUUAAUGUCGCGAGACUUUGGUUAGUUCCAUUAAAUUAACGUAAACCCUUACUUUAUUUUUAUAUAGAGUAGUUCCCCGCUAUAUUGGAUAUGAUAACAGGGACUAAGACAAGUCAUCAUGGCCUAAAUAUUGU
rnacentral:rRNA from 1 species